UGUGGAAAUUUACUCCUGUUUUUCUCUGUCUACGAUGGCCCUUGUACACCAUUGUAGACGAACCAUACUGCUUGUUUACAUGAUUUCCUUUAUGCCAUCACUUCACUCAGCUGUUUCCUGGUCAGAUGCUCAUGUUGUCCAGAUAUGAUCCGUUUCACUGCCAAAUAUCCUGUCCAAUCUAUUAGUACAAUGGUUCAUAAACCUGCUCCAUGCACUCCUCCCCUGCAUGUUUUAGAUGCAUUCAUGACCUCCUCAGCAGACACUCACUGCUGCAGGAGCCUGCCAGUCACUCAUUCUUUAAUUCAGCUGUUUGGAAGCAAGGAGACACCUAAAGCAUGCAGAGCCAGGGUAGUGGAGGAACUAAUUUUCCCAUAAAAACUCCCAUUUUUUAGCAGUAAAUUCCAAUCGAAGGUGCUUUAUUUGGUUGUUAGAGACCAGAAGUGAUUGUAACAGAACUAUUUUCACCUUAGUGAGCAGAGAAGAGGAUGAGGAGGAGGACCGGUCCAGGCAGGUCCACUCUGGUUGGCAGCACGGUUUGAUGCCUUCAGGGCUCACCUGUUCUUUGGAUUUUCCAGUUAUGUCAGGGCAUCUGAGUAAACAUGAGUGAAAUGGAAGACACUGAGCACAGAAGCUGAUAAAUCUUUAUAUACGGUGGUUUGGUAUCCAAGGUGAUUGUUUAAUCAAACGAAUUCUCAACUGGACAUUCAGCUGUUUUUGUUUUUGCAUUGAUUUUACCGUUCAGUGGCUUUAUGUUGGUGUUGUUUUUUAAGAGGACAGUGUGCUUCAUUAGAGACGAGCUGGAAUGAUGGCAGAUUAAAAAAACAGAGAUUAGCUGGAGCCUGGAUUCCAGCGACGUGAAUUCCUGGAUUGGUUCUGAGCUACUCCAUAGUGGGCAUGGGUUGGUAUGAGCCUCUCAGUGAUAAGAAACAAUGAUUCAGCAGUUUCAGUUAGGGGUGCACCGAUGGCAGUUUUCUGGCUGAUCACUGAUAUGUAAAAAGCCUGAACUGCUGAUUCUGAUUUUGACUGAUAGAGAUAUUUUUUUUUUGUCACCAACUUUGUUGCCAUAUUUGGCGUUGGUGUCAUCAUGACUGUUUAGGGGUUUAUAAUAAGAAUGCACAGAUAUCCAAAUUUAAGAGGAUAUUAAUAAUUUAUCUUAUCUGUAUCGAAUCAAUACAGAUAUGUUAAAACAUGACUAAUAUCAGCUGAUACUGAUGUUAGUGUCGAUAUAUUGUGCAUCCCUACUUAAUAAUAGUGAUGAGUUGUGGCCCUUUAGGUUUCACACCAUGACUCUUAGUUUGUUGCAACUGGAAAUAUUUCCAAACAGCCAAAUUAGUCUUUCUUGGAACAGUAAUGAAACUGUUACUCUUUUUUUAUUCUAUGGUGUGUGUUGUUACUAGGAACCGGCCCACUAACACUGGGAUGUCAGUGUUAGUGGAAUCUACUGUGUGACCACAGCUGGUCCUGUGGUUCUGCUGAUGAUCGCCUCACGCUUCACUUCGUCGCUGUCUCUCAGGACUUUCUGUUCACAUGAAGAACCUAAUCAAGCCUUUCUGUGGCCUGUCAGUACAAGCCAGACUGAGUGCUUUCCUCUGAAUCUGAUCCAUUUGCAUCAUGUUUCGUCAGGAAAUACUGCUGCUGCUCUGGAUGUGACUGAAAACAGACUGACAGCUGCACCUUGGAACAAAUUUAAACAGGAACGUGCUUCCUUUCACCAUACAUCACCUUGCAAUAAAUGUUUGAGACAAGUGUCA